rnacentral:rRNA from 1 species
UACGUAGGGUGCAAGCGUUGUCCGGAAUUAUUGGGCGUAAAGAGCUCGUAGGCGGUUUGUUGCGUCGGCUGUGAAAUCCCGAGGCUCAACCUCGGGUCUGCAGUCGAUACGAGCAAACUAGAGUGUUGCAGGGGAGACUGGAAUUCCUGGUGUAGCGGUGAAAUGCGCAGAUAUCAGGAGGAACACCAAUGGCGAAGGCAGCACUCUGG